AUGCAAACAACACACACAAGUAACAACGUUAGGCCAUGGAGCGGCGAGCUCCUUACAUGUGGGAGGGGCUACAGAGGAAGAGAUUUGGGGAAAUGGUAGUUGGGGAUUUUACAGAGAAGCUGUGGUUCCAAAGAUUCCACAUGACACGCUCAACUUUGGAUGAGCUGUGUGACGCUGUGGGACCUCUGGUGGUGCAGUGCCUGCUCCUGCACAGCGCCCAAGGCAGCAAGUUCCUACCAAGAAGUGCAUCACCAUCCGCUUGUUGGUCACGUGACUUGUUUAAUUUCAGUUUUGGGAAAUAUUUUCAUUUCGAUCCACUUUAAAAACUACGGAGCCCCUAAAGGGCCACUGAAGAAAAAAAAUAAUAAAAUAAAACUGGUGCGCACCCGAUCAA